ACACCAAGGACAUACUUACCUAAAAUGUUGUUCUAGAGUCAAAAGACCAGAGUUCAAAUCCCAUCUCGGAUGCUUCCUAUCUUGGUGACCUUGAGCAAAUCAUUUCCCUCAUCCAUAAAAUGAGGGAAUUAGACCGGAUGACUUCCAGGGUCCUUUGCCAAUUACUGAUCUGGGAUCCAAAGCAAAUAUAAAACUUGUGGUAGUCAAGCAUUCAGACUUCAGGUUCUCUGUAAAUAAAUAACUCCCAUAAGGUAUUAAUAUUCUUGACUUUUUCCUGAUCAUCUGAAAAGACAAUCUGCACCCUGGAACCUCACCUGGACACAUUCAAUCACUGAAAUGAAGGGAUCAAAGUUUGCUGCAAUGAAGCAAUAAGUUCACAGAAUCAAAGAUGGAGAAACAGAAGAGACCUAAGAAGUCAAAAAGUACCACUCUCCACUCUCCUCAUUUUGCAGGCACUUUUAAUCUUCAAAGUCCUAAGGAACAAUAAAAAGCUUGAUUUCCUACAUCCUCUUGACCUUGAGAAUGAGCAGCAAACAGAGCUUAGUAAGACCUCUUUUGUACAGAUGAGAAUUUGGAGUCAAAGAAUCUCGUCUAACAACCCUUGAGCGGUGCCUGUCAGGUCGCAGGACCAGACGGAUUUUCCAGAGCAGAAUUCCCUGCUGUCAUUUUAUAUAGUGGAAAAAAACAUCUUGCAUCUGGAAAGAACAUCUCCUGACUCUCAUCAAAGCAAUGACCAACCAUCACUCCAGAAGACUGAUAAUGAAGCAUGCAGCCUACUUCCUGACAGUGACCUUAGGGACUCAGGGUACAAAAUGAGCCAUGUGUUUUUUUAUAUAGCCAGUGCAGGAAUUGAUUUUAAUUGACUAUGCUAAUUUGUUAUAAGGCUUUUAUUUUCCUUUUUUUCUGAUGAUAUCAAGGGGUUUAAGUGAGGUAGAGUGGUACUAAUUCAUCAGCCUCAUUCUCUCUUCCAGAGUCAUCAAAGUCCAGGAGGACCACAAAUAGAACUGUUAAAAUAUUUUAGAGCAUAUAGUUUCUUUUCCUUUUCCUCACCUUAGGAAAUAAAUCUAAUAUUGGUAUUACUGGGUUAAAAGGU
rnacentral:lncRNA from 1 species